GACGAACGCUGGCGGCGUGCCUAAUACAUGCAAGUAGAACGCACAGUUUAUACCGUAGCUUGCUACACCAUAGACUGUGAGUUGCGAACGGGUGAGUAACGCGUAGGUAACCUGCCUGGUAGCGGGGGAUAACUAUUGGAAACGAUAGCUAAUACCGCAUAAUAUUGAUUAUUGCAUGAUAAUUAAUUGAAAGGUGCAAUUGCACCACUACCAGAUGGACCUGCGUUGUAUUAGCUAGUAGGUGAGGUAACGGCUCACCUAGGCGACGAUACAUAGCCGACCUGAGAGGGUGAUCGGCCACACUGAGACUGAGACACGGCCCAGACUCCUACGGGAGGCAGCAGUAGGGAAUCUUCGGCAAUGGACGAAAGUCUGACCGAGCAACGCCGCGUGAGUGAAGAAGGUUUUCGGAUCGUAAAGCUCUGUUGUAAGAGAAGAACGGGUGUGAGAGUGGAAAGUUCACACUGUGACGGUAUCUUACCAGAAAGGGACGGCUAACUACGUG
rnacentral:rRNA from 1 species